rnacentral:rRNA from 1 species
AUGGUUUUCCCAGGAAGGGGAAGGAUCCGUGUCGAUGCUGACGGUGUUCAGAGGAUAUUUGAUCUCCCAAACAGGGGUCCAAAAGUCAGAUAUUUAGUUGACAAGGAUGCCACUAGGAGAUUCAGACAGGCUGUCAACAUAACUGGAAAUUCUCAUCCCCAGAUCACUACAUGGCUCAAGAUGAUUCAGGAUAUGGCUGGAAGAACGGAUGACACAUUCUUUAUGGCCUGGCUUGCGAUACUAUACCUUGAUGCGCUCGUACAUGACAUUCCAGUAAGCAAUUGUGCAAUACGAUCGAAUGCAUAG